rnacentral:rRNA from 1 species
GAUGAGCGCUAGCGGGAGGCUUAAUACAUGCAAGUCGAGCGGUAGAGUGGUCUUCGGACUGCUUGAGAGCGGCGCACGGGUGAGUAACGCGUACACAAUCUACCUUAUACAGAGGAAUAGCCCUGGGAAACCGGGAUUAAUACCUCAUAGUCCGUAAUGAUCGCAUGAUUAUAACGGUAAAGCUCCGGCGGUAUAAGAUGAGUGUGCGCACUAUUAGUUAGUUGGUGAGGUAACGGCUCACCAAGACGAUGAUAGUUAGGGGGCGUGAGAGCGUGAUCCCCCACACGGGUUCUGAGACACGGACCCG